AGUUCCUGGUACACUUUAAUACCAUUGGAAGAUUGCACCAUUUAAGUUUCUUUUUUUUUGUUACUGUGGUUUUUUGCAUGAAAAAAAAGAAAGAACAGGUAAUGCUAAACAGUAAUAGAUAAGUGGAUGGGAUGGUAACCAACUAUGUUGUGUUAUCUUUCGGUGGUAUUAAAGUGUAUCAGAAGCU
rnacentral:pre_miRNA from 1 species